CCUACGGGCGGCAGCAGUGAGGAAUAUUGGUCAAUGGACGAGAGUCUGAACCAGCCAAGUAGCGUGAAGGAUGACUGCCCUAUGGGUUGUAAACUUCUUUUAUAUGGGAAUAAAAUGUUCCACGUGUGGGAUUUUGUAUGUACCAUAUGAAUAAGGAUCGGCUAACUCCGUGCCAGCAGCCGCGGUAAUACGGAGGAGCCGAGCGUUAUCCGGAUUUAUUGGGUUUAAAGGGAGCGUAGGUGGAUUGUUAAGUCAGUUGUGAAAGUUUGCGGCUCAACCGUAAAAUUGCAGUUGAAACUGGCAGUCUUGAGUACAGUAGAGGUGGGCGGAAUUCGUGGUGUAGCGGUGAAAUGCUUAGAUAUCACGAAGAAUUCCGAUUGCGAAGGCAGUUCACUGGACUGCAACUGACACUGAGGCUCGAAAGUGUGGGUAUCAAACAGGAUUAGAUACCCUAGUAGUC
rnacentral:rRNA from 1 species